AAAUAAAAGAGAAGGAAAGCCUGGAGUGACGCUAGACCACAGCCAAGACUGUCUGAACACGGUUAGCUCUGCACUCCACGCACUUUGCAAUGGGUCUCCUUAAGUGGGUGAUUGCACUCUGCCUCCUCGGUGUGAUGGCAACCUCUGCUCUUACGUCCGACGUCCCGGACAGGCUGACAAGGAGCGCCGACUUCGUGGAUCGGGGGGCACGCGGUGCCGUGUACCCCGAUUACGACGAGGGACCCGAUUUUCUGUUAAAGAUUUAAGUGUGUAAAGGACAAGAUGCCAUGAUGGUACCUUGAAAUGUACUGAUGAUUUAAUAUUUUCGGUUGAAAUAAAUAAAUAGAUCAA
rnacentral:lncRNA from 1 species